rnacentral:snRNA from 1 species
GUGCUUGCUUCAGCGGCACAUAUACUAAAAUUGGAACGUUACAGAGAAGAUUAGCAUGGCCCCUGUGCAAGGAUGACAUGCAAAUUCGUGAAGUGUUUCAUUAUUUU